rnacentral:sRNA from 1 species
UUUUAUAUUAAAGGAAGUAAUUUUAAAUGUUACUUUAAAAAGGUAUAUGUAAACCUUGCACCGAGUUUUCUGUGUGUAGAAUGGCGGCCUAGAGAGCUUGCAUUCCCUGGCCUGAGCCCACUGAUGCUCUGAGCCUUCUUUGCACAUCUCCCUUAAACCAUGGUGUCCCUAUGGCUCUGUCCUUGGCCCUUUCCUCCUGCUCUCCCUAGGUGUUUACUUCUAGGGCUUUAGCUAUCACUUCCCUAUAUUCCGGUAACUUUCAGGUCUCUCUCUCUAACCCUGACCUUUAUCCAGCUGCCUUAUAAGUACUUCAAAGUCAGUUUGUCUAAAACUGAAUUUAUGAUCUUCCCCCAAAAGCUAUUCCUCAUUCCCUCUUCCCUAUCCUUGUGAAUGACAGCAUUAUCUACCCAGCCACCAAACCCAAACCUUGGCCAUUAUCUCGAAUCCUUCCCUCCCAAUGUCCUAUAUCCUAGCAUUUGGUCACUAAAUCCUGGUGAUUCCACAUUUUGUUUGUUUGCUUGUUUUUUAGAGGCAGGGUCUUGCUCUUGUCACCCAGGCUGGAGUGCAGUGGCACGAUCACAGCUCACUGCAGCCUCAACUUCCUGAGCUCAAGCGAUUCUCCUGUCUCAGCCUCUCGAGUAGCUGGGAUUAUAGGCAUGAGCCACCACGCCUGGCUAAUUUUUGUAUUUUUUUUAUAGAGAUGAGGUCUUGCCAUAUUGCCCAGGCUGGUUUCAAACUCCUAGGCUCAAGUGAUCUGCCUGCCUCAGCCUCCUGAAGUGCUGGGAUUACAGGCAUGAGCCACCAUGCCCAGCCUGCCCAGCCUCCUCAGUUCCAGAUUUUGAGGAAGCUGUCCCAGGAACCUGUGGCCACAGCCAUCCCAUCAGCUGUGACUCCCAGGCAGCUGACCCUGUUAUCGUGGCCAGAGAGGAUGCCUGAGGAAGAGGGAAAGGAGUCAGCCUGUCUUUCCAAGCUGAUUUGGAAAGCAGUGUGUGCAUGCGUGUAAGUGUAUGCAUGGGUGUGUGUGUGUAUGUGGGUGUGUGGGGGGAUAUGUGUGCAUGUGUAUGCAUGUGUGGGUGUGUGUACGUGUGUGUGUGCAUGUGUGCUUGAGCACAUGCAUGCAGGGAUCCUAGACUCGGUAGACUGGGCUCAACCCCUGAAGAAGGCUAAGAGACUGAAAGAGGAUUAGCCGUAGGGCAGGGGGUUCUCUGUCAAGAGCUUUGGUUGGGGGAGGGCUGGGAUCAGACAGAGAAAGGCUGGAAGCAUCUGUGUACUAUGAAAAACCCCGAGGGCACCUUGACAGGUGCUGGAAAAGAGAAGGCAACCGUUCAUCCUAUUUCUUUGCUUCCAGAUGAAGAAACUGAGGCCCAUGGAGGAGUGACUUGUGCAAGGACACUCAGAAAGUGAGCAACAGAAUUAGGAUUUGGAUUCUGCCCCUGGCCAGUGUUAUUUUCAUCAGCACCUGGCCUCUUGAUAGAGAAGAAGCCAUCCUAUCUGACCAACUUCAGGCUAGUCUUAGAUGAGCCCUAGGCUGCAGUCAGGGCCCUCGGGCCACUCCAGAUCUCCUUGAUUCUGCCUUGAUUCCAUGUUUCCCUGAGGCUGUCUUGCCUCUCAGUGGGUGCCCCUGAAAUGCCAGGAACCCAGAACUGACCGGACAGUCAUGGUCCACAGAUCUCCUAGGGCAGGGAGCAGUCAUGGCAUUGGGCAGUGGAGAGAGGCUGCUUAGAGCAACACUGAGGGAAAACAGUCCUAGUUGGGAACCAAGGGGUACUGGAUUCCAGGGGUGGAGUCACCCAGUGACAAGGGACAGCAGUAAGAGAGUCCGAAAUGGGAGCUGAUGGGGGGUACAGAAUGGGGAGGGAGGGCUGGGGAGGGUCCUUCCAGCUGAGGAAGCAGCAGCCAGGGCUGGCCCUUACCCACACGCUCAGACUUCAUGGAGUCCCAGACAUUGCAGUUGAAGUCGUCGUAGCCAGCAAAUAGCAGGCGGCCACUGAGGGAGAAGGCCACGGACGUGAUGCCGCAGAUGAUGCUCUCGUGGGAGAAGCAGAUCAGCUCCUGGUCUGCCCGCAGGUCAAACAAGCGGCAGGAAGCGUCAUCCGAGCCCGUGCAGAUGGCCUCUCCAUUGGGGAAGAACUGAGGGCACGGGUGGCAAGUGGGUCAGGGAUCAGACCUGGGCAGCCCACAGCCUCUCCCACCCUCUGCCUCCCACCUGACAGCUCCAGGGCAAGCCGCUGCUCUCAGCCUCCCUGCCUGUCCCUUCCUUGGUUUGGGGUGAGAAGCAGCCCUGCCAACACAUACCACGUGCCAGUGACUUCCCUAUGCCCCUCGCCCGCUCUGCACUAUACAGCGCUGCAGGCAGGCAUCAUUUCCAUGUCGCAGGCAAGAGCACCAAGGCUUGCCUGCAGUGACCCGGCUAGAAGGGCGGACGGAGGUUGUCCCAGACUCCCAGACUACACAAGUGGGCUGGAUCAGGGUGUGCAAGAACAGGGUCCAGUACAAAUGCAAGGCCUGGAUCUCAUGGCGAGCAAAUGUCAGAUAAGCUCAAACGGAGGGAGAGUCUACAGAAAACUGGUUUGUACUCUUCAAAAAUGUCAAUGACAUAAAAGACAAAGGUGGGAAAACAGUUCCAGUUUAAAGGUGGUGACGAAAAAGAUAUGGCGAGGAAAGGUAAUGCACGUUUCUGGAUUGGAUCCUGGACAGAAAAAAACAUGAGCUAUUAUGGACAUUUUUGAGGCUAUUGGUGAAAUUUGAAUAUAGACUGUAGACUGUAGUAUUGUGUCAAUGUUGAGUUUCCUGAUCUUAAGAAUCAUACAGUGAUUAUGCUACAGAAGGGCUUUGUUUCAGGAAGUACUUAAGGGGUAAAGAAACAUGAUGUCUGCAACCUACUUUCAAAAGACACAGAAAGAAAAUGUGUAUCUAC